rnacentral:rRNA from 1 species
GACGAACGCUGGCGGCGUGCCUAAUACAUGCAAGUUGAGCGCUGAAGGUUGGUACUUGUACCAACUGGAUGAGCAGCGAACGGGUGAGUAACGCGUGGGGAAUCUGCCUUUGAGCGGGGGACAACAUUUGGAAACGAAUGCUAAUACCGCAUAAAAACUUUAAACACAAGUUUUAAGUUUGAAAGAUGCAAUUGCAUCACUCAAAGAUGAUCCCGCGUUGUAUUAGCUAGUUGGUGAGGUAAAGGCUCACCAAGGCGAUGAUACAUAGCCGACCUGAGAGGGUGAUCGGCCACAUUGGGACUGAGACACGGCCCAAACUCCUACGGGAGGCAGCAGUAGGGAAUCUUCGGCAAUAGACGAAAGUCUGACCGAGCAACGCCGCGUGAGUGAAGAAGGGUUUCGGAUCGUAAAACUCUGUUGGUAGAGAAGAACGUUGGUGAGAGUGGAAAGCUCAUCAAGUGACGGUAACUACCCAGAAAGGGACGGCUAACUACGUG